UCUCUGAUGGUCCAGUGGUUAAGACUCAGCACUUCCAAUGCAGGGGAUGCAGGUUGGAUCCCUGGUUGGGGAA
rnacentral:tRNA from 1 species